AUGUGUGAUGCCCGUCCCACCCUGACGGUGCUGCCCCCCUCCACUGAGCAGCUGCAGCAGGGGAAGGCCACGCUCAUGUGCCUGGCCAACAAGGGCUUCCCCUCAGACUGGAGUCUGGCCUGGAAGGUGGACGGCAGCAGCAGCAGCAGCAGCAGCAUCAGCUGGGAGCAGAGCAGCAGCCCCGGGGUGCUGGAGAAGGACGGCCACUACAGCUGGAGCAGCACCCUGAGGCUCUCUGCAGACCAGUGGAGGAAGGUGGGCUCUGUGACCUGUGAGGCCACCCAGGGCUCCCAGACUCCGCUCUCAGAGACUCUGAGGAGAGACCAGUGUCCCCAGUCGUGAUCUGACUCAUUGGUUCUACUCUGCUACUGCUCUCAGUCUGCACUCUGUAACUCUCUCUUUCUCGCACGUUCUUGCUUGUGUUGAUGCUUUCAACAUUUUAAAACAAUAAAUAUUUGAUUAUGUGUAUUAGACAAGUUUUUGACCUCCUUUCUUUCACAUAUAUAAGAUAUAACAGUCCAGUCCAGAACUGUAAACUCCGAAUGUACAUUAAUGUACAUUAAUUAAUCUAUUCAACUAGUUUAUACCCUUGAAGAUAUGGUGUUCAAUGUGUUUUAAAUAUUCUGAACAUCUAAAAUAAAAAUUAAAAUAGAAAAAUUAGAAAUAUAAAGAAGCGUAUCGUCUGCAUAAAGUGAUAGAACAAGAAUAAAAUAUGAGAUUUUAAACAAAAAAUUCAGCUCUGCUUGUUUUUCAAGUUUUUAAAAUGUAUCUGUUUCAUUCUCUGAAGACUCUUAGAGACACUGAGGACAGACCAGUGUUCCCAGUCCUGACCUGACCUACUACUACUGGUUGUACUCAGGUCUUUUGUUCUUUCUCUCACUAAUUACAUCUUUCAUGAUCAAACUU